GUCUUAUUGAAUAAUAAUUUUAAGUCAAUCUGCCCAAUGAAUAAUAAUUUAAAUGGCUGCAGUAUACUGACUGUACAAAGGUAGCAUAAUCAAUUGAUUUUUAAAUGGAAUCUGGAAUGAAAGGAUUAAUGAAAUAUAUACUGUCUCAUAUUUAUUUUAUAAAUUUAAAAUUUUAAUAAAAAUGUUAAAAUUUUUUUAUGGGACGAUAAGACCCUAUAGAAUUUUAUAUUAAUUUAAUUUUGUAUUUAACUAUAAAAUUUAAUUUAAUAUUUAGUUGGGAGAAUUAUUAAAUUUAAUAAAUUUUAAUUAAGAAAAACUUUAAUUAAAGAAAAAAUCUUGAUCUUUAAUUUAAAAUUAAUAGAAUAAAUUACCUUAGGGAUAACAGCGUUAUAUUUUUUUAUAGAUCGUAUAGAAAAAAAUGAUUGCGACCUCGAUGUUGAAUUAAGAUAAAUUUUAAAUGUAGAAAUUUAAUAAUUAAGUCUGUUCGACUUUUAAAAUCUUACAUGAUUUGAGUUCAAAUCGACGUAAGU
rnacentral:rRNA from 1 species